rnacentral:rRNA from 1 species
CAGUAGCCGCGGUAAUACGUAGGGUCCGAGCGUUGUCCGGAAUUAUUGGGCGUAAAGGGCUCGUAGGCGGUUUGUCGCGUCGGGAGUGAAAACCAGGUGCUUAACACCUGGCCUGCUUUCGAUACGGGCAGACUAGAGGCAUUCAGGGGAGAACGGAAUUCCUGGUGUAGCGGUGAAAUGCGCAGAUAUCAGGAGGAACACCGGUGGCGAAGGCGGUUCUCUGGGAAUGUCCUGACGCUGAGGAGCGAAAGUGUGGGGAGCGAACAGGAUUAGAUACCCCAGUAGUCCCUGUCUCUUAUAC